AUUGAACGCUGGCGGCAGGCCUAACACAUGCAAGUCGAACGCGUGGCGGACGGGUGAGUAAUGUCUGGGAACCUGCCCGAUGGAGGGGGAUAACUACUGGAAACGGUAGCUAAUACCGCAUACCAUCGGAUGUUCCCAGAUGGGAUUAGCUAGUAGGUGGGGUAACGGCUCACAGAGGCGACGAUCCCUAGCUGGUCUGAGAGGAUGACCGGCCACACUGGAACUGAGACACGGUCCAGACUCCGACGGGAGGCAGCAGUGGGGAAUAUUGCACAAUGGGCGCAAGCCUGAUGCAGCCAUGCCGCGUGUAUGAAGAAGGCCUGCGGGUUGUAAAGUACUUUCAGCGAGGAGGCGUUACUCGCAGAAGAAGCACCGGCUAACUCCGUGCCAGCAGCCGCGGUAAUUC
rnacentral:rRNA from 1 species